rnacentral:rRNA from 1 species
GACGAACGCUGGCGGCGUGCCUAAUACAUGCAAGUCGAACGCUGAAGGAGGAGCUUGCUUCUCUGGAUGAGUUGCGAACGGGUGAGUAACGCGUAGGUAACCUGCCUGGUAGCGGGGGAUAACUAUUGGAAACGAUAGCUAAUACCGCAUAAGAGUAGAUGUCGCAUGACAUUUGCUUAAAAGGUGCAAUUGCAUCACUACCAGAUGGACCUGCGUUGUAUUAGCUAGUUGGUGAGGUAACGGCUCACCAAGGCAACGAUACAUAGCCGACCUGAGAGGGGGAUCGGCCACACUGGGACUGAGACACGGCCCAGACUCCUACGGGAGGCAGCAGUAGGGAAUCUUCGGCAAUGGACGGAAGUCUGACCGAGCAACGCCGCGUGAGUGAAGAAGGUUUUCGGAUCGUAAAGCUCGGUUGUAAGAGAAGAACGAGUGUGAGAGUGGAAAGUUCACACUGUGACGGUAUCUUACCAGAAAGGGACGGCUAACUACGUG